rnacentral:rRNA from 1 species
GCCGCGUGAGCGAAGAAGGCCUUCGGGUCGUAAAGCUCUGUUGUCAGGGAAGAACAAGUACCAUAGUAACUGAUGGUACCUUGACGGUACCUGGCCAGAAAGCCACGGCUAACUACGUGCCAGCAGCCGCGGUAAUACGUAGGUGGCAAGCGUUGUCCGGAAUUAUUGGGCGUAAAGCGCGCGCAGGCGGUCCUUUAAGUCUGAUGUGAAAGCCCACGGCUCAACCGUGGAGGGUCAUUGGAAACUGGGGGACUUGAGUGCAGAAGAGGAGAGUGGAAUUCCACGUGUAGCGGUGAAAUGCGUAGAGAUGUGGAGGAACACCAGUGGCGAAGGCGACUCUCUGGUCUGUAACUGACGCUGAGGCGCGAAAGCGUGGGGAGCGAACAGGAUUAGAUACCCUGGUAGUCCACGCCGUAAACGAUGAGUGCUAAGUGUUAGAGGGUUUCCGCCCUUUAGUGCUGCAGCAAACGCAUUAAGCACUCCGCCUGGGGAGUACGGCCGCAAGGCUGAAACUCAAAGGAAUUGACGGGGGCCCGCACAAGCGGUGGAGCAUGUGGUUUAAUUCGAAGCAACGCGAAGAACCUUACCAGGUCUUGACAUCCUCUGACAAUCCUGGAGACAGGACGUUCCCCUUCGGGGGACAGAGUGACAGGUGGUGCAUGGUUGUCGUCAGCUCGUGUCGUGAGAUGUUGGGUUAAGUCCCGCAACGAGCGCAACCCUUGAUCUUAGUUGCCAGC